rnacentral:rRNA from 1 species
GAUGAACGCUAGCGGCAGGCCUAACACAUGCAAGUCGAGGGAGAGGUUACCUUCGGGUAACCAAAACCGGCGCACGGGUGCGUAACGCGUAUACAAUCUGCCUUUCACAUAGGGAUAGCCCGAAGAAAUUUGGAUUAAUACCUAAUGGUAUAUAAGAGCGGCAUCGUUUUUAUAUUAAAGCUACGGUGGUGAAAGAUGAGUAUGCGUUCUAUUAGCUAGUUGGAGAGGUAACGGCUCCCCAAGGCGACGAUAGAUAGGGGUUCUGAGGGGGAUGUCCCCCACACUGGUACUGAGAUACGGACCAGACUCCUACGGGAGGCAGCAGUGAGGAAUAUUGGACAAUGGUCGGAAGACUGAUCCAGCCAUGCCGCGUGCAGGAUGAAGGUCCUAUGGAUUGUAAACUGCUUUUGUAAGGGAAGAAUAAGGAGUACGUGUACUUUGAUGACGGUACCUUACGAAUAAGCAUCGGCUAACUCCGUGCCAGCAGCCGCGGUAAUACGGAGGAUGCGAGCGUUAUCCGGAAUCAUUGGGUUUAAAGGGUCCGUAGGCGGGCUGAUAAGUCAGAGGUGAAAGCGCUUAGCUCAACUAAGCAACUGCCUUUGAAACUGUCAGUCUUGAAUGAUUGUGAAGUAGUUGGAAUGUGUAGUGUAGCGGUGAAAUGCUUAGAUAUUACACAGAACACCGAUAGCGAAGGCAUAUUACUAACAAUUUAUUGACGCUGAUGGACGAAAGCGUGGAUAGCAAACAGG